rnacentral:misc_RNA from 1 species
GGGUAACCGUAGUGAGGGUUCUCCGAAGCCAACCUCCCCCCGUGUAUACCGUACCCUGUUGCUUCGGCGGGCCCGCCUCUUCAAAGCCGGGGGGCCUCGCGCCCCCGGGCCCGCGCCCGCCCAUGACCCCAACACGAACACUGUCUGAAAAGUGCAGUCUGAGUCGAUUGUUACCAAUCAGUCAAAACUUUCAACAAUGGAUCUCUUGGUUCCGGCAUCGAUGAAGAACGCAGCGAAAUGCGAUAACUAAUGUGAAUUGCAGAAUUCAGUGAAUCAUCGAGUCUUUGAACGCACAUUGCGCCCCCUGGUAUUCCGGGGGGCAUGCCUGUCCGAGCGUCAUUGCUGCCCUCAAGCACGGCUUGUGUGUUGGGCCCCGUCCCCGGUACCCCCGGGGACGGGCCCGAAAGGCAGCGGCGGCACCGCGUCCGGUCCUCGAGCGUAUGGGGCUUUGUCACCCGCUCCGCAGGCCCGGCCGGCGCCAGCCGACCAACCCAACCAUUUUCUACAGGUUGACCUCGGAUCAGGUAGGGAUACCCGCUGAACUUAAGCAUAUAUAAGGCGGGAAGGAAACCCCAAUUUCUUUUCU